rnacentral:rRNA from 1 species
UACGUAGGGACCUAGCGUUGUUCGGAAUUACUGGGCGUAAAGGGCUCGUAGGCGGCCAACUAAGUCAUACGUGAAAUCCCUCGGCUUAACCGGGGAACUGCGUCUGAUACUGGAUGGCUUGAGUUCGGGAGAGGGAUGCGGAAUUCCAGGUGUAGCGGUGAAAUGCGUAGAUAUCUGGAGGAACACCGGUGGCGAAGGCGGCAUCCUGGACCGAUACUGACGCUGAUGCGCGAAAGCCAGGGGAGCAAACGGG